rnacentral:lncRNA from 1 species
GGCCUUUAUUUCACUAUAUUAAUGAAUUUAACAUUAACAGUUAUACUAGUACUUAUUGUGUUUAAUUUUAAAGUUAUACUUAUUUAAAAAAAAAAAUUUAUUAUAAAAAAAAAGAUGUGGUAUGAUUGCCAAUGAGACAACUCUAAACAAGGGACCAAAUGACACAGAAGUUAACAAGUAUAGGUCACUGUGCAGUAUUCAACAAAGAGCAAAGUCUGUAUCACAUAGGCUUGACAAACUUUAAACCUUUUCAGUACUACAUUGAAAAUUUUAAACAAUUUUGGUUCAUUGCAAAUAAGAUAAACAAUUGGAUGAAGUUAACAAGAUC